rnacentral:rRNA from 1 species
AGCGAACGCUGGCGGCAGGCCUAACACAUGCAAGUCGAACGAAGUCUUCGGACUUAGUGGCGGACGGGUGAGUAACACGUGGGAACGUACCUUUUGGUUCGUAACAACUCAGGGAAACUUGAGCUAAUACCGGUUGAGCCCCUAGGGGGAAAGAUUUAUCGCCGAAAGAGCGGCGCGCGUUAGAUUAGCUAGUUGGUGAGGUAAAGUCUCACCAAGGCUACGAUCUAUAGCUGGGCUGAGAGGAUGAUCAGCCACACUGGGACUGAGACACGGCCCAGACUCCUACGGGAGGCAGCAGUGGGGAAUCUUGCGCAAUGGGCGAAAGCCUGACGCAGCCAUGCCGCGUGAAUGAUGAAGGUCUUAGGAUUGUAAAAUUCUUUUACCAGGGACGAUAAUGACGGUACCUAGAGAAAAAGCCCCGGCUAACUUCGUGCCAGCCGCCGCGGUAAAAC